CCUACGGGAGGCAGCAGUGAGGCAUAUUGGUCAAUGGACGAGAGUCUGAACCAGCCAAGUAGCGUGAAGGAUGACUGCCCUAUGGGUUGUAAACUUCUUUUAUAUGGGAAUAAAAUGUUCCACGUGUGGGAUUUUGUAUGUACCAUAUGAAUAAGGAUCGGCUAACUACGUGCCAGCAGCCGCGGUAAUACGGAGGAUCCGAGCGUUAUCCGGAUUUAUUGGGUGUAAAGGGAGCGUAGGUGGAUUGUUAAGUCAGUUGUGAAAGUUUGCGGCUCAACCGUAAAAUUGCAGUUGAAACUGGCAGUCUUGAGUACAGUAGAGGUGGGCGGAAUUCGUGGUGUAGCGGUGAAAUGCUUAGAUAUCACGAAGAACUCCGAUUGCGAAGGCAGUUCACUGGACUGCAACUGACACUGAGGCUCGAAAGUGUGGGUAUCAAACAGGAUUAGAUACCCGAGUAGUC
rnacentral:rRNA from 1 species